AUUGAACGCUGGCGGAAUGCUUUACACAUGCAAGUCGAGCGGCAGCGCGGGGGCAACCCUGGCGGCGAGCGGCGAACGGGUGAGUAAUACAUCGGAACGUGUCCUUGAGUGGGGGAUAGCUCGGCGAAAGCCGGAUUAAUACCGCAUAAGCUCUGCGGAGGAAAGCGGGGGACUGGUAACGGCCUCGCGCUGUUGGAGCGGCCGAUGUCGGAUUAGCUAGUUGGUGGGGUAAAGGCCCACCAAGGCGACGAUCCGUAGCUGGUCUGAGAGGAUGAUCAGCCACACUGGAACUGAGACACGGUCCAGACUCCUACGGGAGGCAGCGAGUGGGGAAUUUUGGACAAUGGGGGCAACCCUGAUCCAGCCAUUCCGCGUGAGUGAAGAAGGCCUCGGUUGUAA
rnacentral:rRNA from 1 species